rnacentral:tRNA from 1 species
UCCUCAGUAGCUUAGUGGUUGAGCGGUCAUCUGUCAACUGAUUGGGCAUAGGUUUGAAUCCUACUUGGGGAG